rnacentral:rRNA from 1 species
AUACGAAGGUCCCAAGCGUUAUUCGGAAUCACUGGGCGUAAAGAGUACGUAGGCGGUUUGGUAAGUCAGGUGUGAAAUCCCGAAGCUCAACUUCGGAACUGCAUCCGAUACUGCCAGACUAGAGUACUGGAGAGGCAGGUGGAAUUCUCGGUGUAGCAGUGAAAUGCGUGGAUAUCGAGAGGAAGACCAAUGGCGAAGGCAGCCUGCUGGACAUUUACUGACGCUGAGGUACGAAGGCUAGGGGAGCGAAAGGGAUUAGAAACCCCAGUAGUCC